rnacentral:tRNA from 1 species
UAUAUUCAGGUGUCAAGGAUGCACAGAAAAUUUUGAAUUUUCAGGUUAUGGUUUAAUUCCAUAGGAUAUAA